UACCUGGCGGCGGCUUACCAUGCAAGUCGAGCGGAGCGAGGGUGCUUGCACCUUAGCUUAGCGGCGGACGGGUGAGUAAUGCUUAGGAAUCUGCCUAUUAGUGGGGGACAACAUUCCGAAAGGGAUGCUAAUACCGCAUACGCCCUACGGGGGAAAGCAGGGGAUCUUCGGACCUUGCGCUAAUAGAUGAGCCUAAGUCGGAUUAGCUAGUUGGUGGGGUAAAGGCCUACCAAGGCGACGAUCUGUAGCGGGUCUGAGAGGAUGAUCCGCCACACUGGGACUGAGACACGGCCCAGACUCCUACGGGAGGCAGCAGUGGGGAAUAUUGGACAAUGGGGGGAACCCUGAUCCAGCCAUGCCGCGUGUGUGAAGAAGGCCUUUUGGUUGUAAAGCACUUUAAGCGAGGAGGAGGCGCUCUAGGCUAAUACCCUAGAUGCGUGGACGUUACUCGCAGAAUAAGCACCGGCUAACUCUGUGCCAGCAGCCGCGGUAAUACAGAGGGUGCGAGCGUUAAUCGGAUUUACUGGGCGUAAAGCGCGCGUAGGUGGCUAAUUAAGUCAAAUGUGAAAUCCCCGAGCUUAACUUGGGAAUUGCAUUCGAUACUGGUUAGCUAGAGUAUGGGAGAGGGAUGGUAGAAUUCCAGGUGUAGCGGUGAAAUGCGUAGAGUCUGGAGGAAUACCCGAUGGCGAAGGCAGCCAUCUGGCCUAAUACUGACACUGAGGUGCGAAAGCAUGGGGAGCAAACAGGAUUAGAUACCCUGGUAGUCCAUGCCGUAGACGAUGUCUACAGCCGUUGGGGCUUU
rnacentral:rRNA from 1 species